CUAAGAACAAGCCAAUUACUGAAGACAUUAAAGGUGGAGGAGGCUCAGUAGUGGAUUUCACUAGAAUGUAGCAAAAAACCACUCAUGGUCUCUUGACCUGGAAAUGGGGAAUGAAUAAUAACUUUCUUUACAAAUGUUCUGCUCUUGAUUCUACUGAGCUAGUGAAGGAUAAAGUCAUCUCCUUGGUAGAUGCUGGAAUAGCUAUAAACUGUGCUUUCCCUCUGGUUCUCUGCCCAGAAAGGAAAGUGAAACUGAUCCUUUCCUUUGACUAUGGCCCUUUUGAACCAUU